GUCCAAUCAUUGAAAAAAGGAAAGACAUCGAAAUGUUAGAUGUCACUACCGUAAGGAUGACAUCUGAAGAAUAGAUCAUGGAUACAAGACUGGAUCAUCGAUUCAUGGUGUCUAAUUCUCAAGUGUCUCUUGUAGAAGAAUUGCAUUUUUUCCCGAUAAAUCUAUAAGAUCCCACGAAAAUGCUCCAAGUAAAAAGAGUGCUAAAUUUGGAAAACAAGAAGAAGCUUAGGGGUUUCUUGCUCGAAAAUCUAGAUAUGUUUACUUGGAGGCAUAAAGAUAUGAUGGGUAUCGAUCAUGACGAGUUGCCACCACCUAAAUAAUGAUCCAAAGUUCACACCUCAAAGGCAGAAGCGAAGAGCCUUUGACUCGAAAAGAUAUAGGGCCCCGAAGGAAGAGGUGGAAAAACUUAUAUUCAAUCAUCAGAGAGGCCAUCUAUCCAAAUUGAAUCUCUAACCCAGUCCUUGUAAAGAAACACAAUGACAAAUGGAGGAUAUGCAUAAACUUCUCCAACCUUAAUCAAGCAUGCCCCAAGGACAGUUUUCCACUUCAAAUGAUAGACUAACUUAUGGGUUCUAUUGCGGAGCAUGAACUAUUGAGCGUUAUGGAUAUUUAUUCACGAUAUGAUCAGAUCUUCAUGCACCCGUCAAACAAAAAAACCACCUCCUUAAUUACUCGUAGAGGCCUAUAUUAUUAAAAGAUGAUGCCUUUCGACUUGAAAAAUACAGGAGCAACCUAUCAGAGGCCUGUCACCAAAAUUUUUGUCGACUUCUUUUGCAAAACCAUGGAAGUUUAUAUAGAUAAUAUGCCAAUAAAGAGCCUCAAGGCUAUAGACCAUGUUAAGCACCUCGAUGCAGAUUUUUAAAUAUUAAAAAGAUAUAUGAUGAGGCUGAAUCCACUCAAAUGAGCCUUUGGCAUGGCAUUUGGGAAGUUUUUAGGCUACAUAGUCAAUAAAUGUAUACAUGAAAAGAUCAAAGCCUUGAUGGAUAUGAGGUCUCCUAGAAAACCAAAGGAAGUACAAAAUCUCAUCGGUCGAUUAAUAGCCCUAAGCCAUUUUAUUUUAAAGGGCAUCGAUAAAUACCUUCUAAGGGCUGAAGAAGUAUUUGGGACAGGACCCCUCCUCUUGAAAUCUAAGGAAGGAAAUUUUUUUUUUUGUAUUUAGUUGUUUAUAUAGAGGCUAUACGCUCCAUACUUAUGAGGAAAGAAGGUAGAGUGCAAUUACAGAUUUAUCGUGUAUGCAAGGCCCGUUUGUCAAUAGAAACUAACUACACUGACAUAAAGAAGUUUGCCCUUUCUUUGGUCACCGCUUCUAGCAAAUUGAAGCCAUAUUUCUAGGCCCAUAGCAUACAAGUACUAAAUAAUUUUCCACUUAAGUAGGUGCUUCAAAGCCUGAUGCCUCAGGUAGAUUAAUGAAAUGAGUGUGGAGCUAAGUGAAUAUGAUAUUUUUUACGGUCAAAGAGCCUCUGUAACAAGGACAAGAACUUGUAGACUUCAUAGUAGAGUUUGUCAAUGCUUUGGAUAUAGAAAUGUCAAUGGAUCAAGCAAAACCACCCACAUGGAAUUUGUUUGUUGAUGGUCUCUUCGAAAAUAUAAGUAUAAGGAAUGGAGUGGUAUUAGUUAGCCCAAAAAGCCAUAAGCUCAACUGCAUGGUAAGAUUUAGAUUUAAGGCCUUCAACAACAUAGCCAAAUAUGAAGCAUUACUAAUUGGCCUCAAAUUAUCUAAGGAUAUACAAUUGAAAAAAUUGUAGUUAAGAGCGAUCUGCAAAGGACAAAAGUAUGGCAGCAUCACUCAAGAAGGUUAUGGAUCUUCUCCCAUCUUUUAAAAAAUUUGAGUUGGCUCAAAUCCUACAUACUGAGAACAUUCAUGCCGAUAUUUUUUAAAGUUUGCUAGUAAUAAGGAUUCAGGGCUUCUUAAGGUAGUAUCAAUUAAACACCUCGCCGGGCUCUCUAUCUCCAAAGUAAAAGAGGUUAUAUGGAUUGAAGGAACCCUAUUUCAGAUACAGCCAAUUGUUUACUUUCUCAAAGAUCAAAUCCUACUGAAAAAUAAAGAAAAAGCCAACAAGCUCAGAAGAAGAGUUGAUCAUGUUGUGCUCCAGGAUGAGGUGCUAUUUAUGAGAGGUGUCUCAUCGACUCUUCUUCAGUGCACUGAUGGAGAAGAGGCUAAUUAUGUCCUUCGCAAGGUUCAUGAAAGAGUUUUUGGCAACCAUACAAGGGGCCUAGAACUCGUACAUAAGAUAUUAAGACGAUGAUAUUAUUGGCCAAAUCUCGAGAAGGAUGCAUUUCAAUUCAUAAAGAAAUAUGACAUGUAUCAACGUUUCCAUACCAUACAGAGGCAGCCCUCUUAAGAAUUAACUAUUGUUUUGAGCCCCUAGCCAUUUGCCAAAUUGGGAGUCAACCUCAUAUGGGCCCCUACCAAAAGGGAUUGGUAGUGCUAGCUAUGCUUCUGUAGCCAUUUAUUACUUCACCAAAUGGGUCAAAGCUAAACUUCUAGAAAAAAUCACUCAGGCCAUCGCUUCUAAAUUUAUCUAAAAGGACAUCAUCAGUUGGCUUGGGAUUCUGCAUUCGUUUGUACUGAACAAUAGGAGAGAGUUUGACAAUAGAAAGGCCAACAACUUGUGUGAAGAAUUGGAAAUUAGGAAACACUUCUCAUCAUCCUCAGGCAAAUGACCAAGUGGAAGCAGUCAAUAAAACGAUCAAGCACACCUAAAAAAAAGGUUGAUGCAUCAAAAGGGGCCAAGUGGAUGAGCUUCCCAAGGACAAUUCGUAUCACGAGUCAAAUUACAUUAGGAAAUACUCUUUUUUCUACGGCUUAUAGGGCUGAGACCAUGAGCCCCAUUGAGUUAAGACCACUACCGCCUUAUUGUUUUCAUUUUAAUGAGAUAUCUCAUGACAAGUUGAGAAGGCAUGAAUUGGACUUCCUUAAAGAAAUAGGAGACGAUUCCCAAAUGAAGCUCAUCUUUUAUCAAAGGAAAAUGGCUUGAUGAUAUGACACGAAGGCAUAGAAGAGAUCAUUUCGAAGGAGAGAUCUUGUAUAAAAGAGGGUUUUUCUAUCCUAUAAAGAGCUAGAUGUGGAAACAUUUUCCCAACUGCAUAUCAG
rnacentral:lncRNA from 1 species